rnacentral:misc_RNA from 1 species
GUUCAGCAUUUGGGAAUUGGCAUAUAUGAAUUGACCCUUCUCUUUUUUCUUUAUUUUUAUUUGUUGCUUUUGGUGCAGCAAGAGUCUAGAUGGUGUAGGACUUCCAUUUGCAAUAUAGUUCAGUAUAGUUCUGGCUUAGAGCUCACCUGGAUUGGUAUAUGGUUUUCUCAUUGUUCCCUUUACAGGGCCUUUUUAAAAUUUUUUAUUUAACGGAGAAUGUAAUUCUGAUGAAUAAUUUAGAAAUAAAAUUUUAACCUGGAUAUUUGAAAGUAAAAGGAAAGUUCUUGAGGUGGAGACUCUAGGGUCUUUGAAUAAAUUUAGGGUCAGUGGGUGAUGGGUUUGCAAGGAUUUUGGUAUAUAAAUGAUAAGAAGUGUGUUUUUUUAGGCUGUAGUGAAUUAUAGAUCUAAAUUUUUUAUUCCAAUCUUGAUAAUGGGUUGGCUGGCACAAUUGGUUCUCAUUUUACAUUAUUUUUGCUUAUUUGAGGCAAAUGAUUCUAAUUUUUAUCUCUCAUGACCUAAAGUUGUACCAUUACACUUGAGCCUUUUUCCAAUGGUGUAUGAAUUUGUUGUAAUUGUCUAUUAAGGUCAGGCAAAUCAAGCUUGCCUAAUGAGUCAGAAAUUAUUGUGGAAAAUUGAAACAUAAAAGCAAAACUAAAAUGGUCAACGUAUUUUAUUUUUCAGUUUGCACUUGCCUGAAUUAAUACUGAUAAGAAUCUGCAAACAGCUGAUUGGUAAUGAUGCCCUAUCAUUUAGGACUGUUGGUAAGAGGAGGAGGUGAGCAGAGGAACAAUUGUAAGUUGGAUUUCUUUGCAGAUGAUGGUUAGAAUUGGCUUUAGCAUUGGGGUAGAAGAGCCAUUGUCAUCUAUUCCAUUUUAAACUCACCAUGCACUAAAUAAUGGAUCUUAGUUUGGCAGCAUUUCAAUAAUGUGGCGUCACACAUUACUCUUUACUUUCCUUUUUGGGCUGAGAUGUUUUUACUACUAACAGAAGGGGCUUUUAAAGUUUUGAACUUGAUCUGGUUUUGCAUCUGUACUGAAUUUGCUUGCCACUUAGCUAGAUAGAUAGCAAGCAGACAAUUAUUCUAUUUUACUGUUUAUACUAGGAUAUGGAUCUGCUAACUUUAAAAAAUUUAGUGCUAUUGUCUGAAAAAUACUUUCGUAGUAUUACUCUUUUUCUAGUGACCAGCACUAACUUCUUCUGCUCUUUGAUUUUUUUUUUUUUUUUCCAGUAUUGAUAUUCAGGCUUCAAGGCUAGUUGAAUUAGAAGAGAUAAGCAUGGGUACUGAUGCUGUUGCUGAAGUUGGUUUUUCUCUCGAUGAUGUCAACUCUGCAGAUCCAGGAGCUGAGUCAAGUAAAAUCAAUUUAGUUGUGGACAUGUCUUUUAAUGGAGAGACAAGUUCUGAGUUAAUAAUUGCAGAUGAGAUUAUAACGAGAAUGGAAUUAGAUUUAGCAUGUGCUUCAGAGAAGUUGGUUAACCUAAGUGUAUUAAUGAUGCACGUGGAAUCCAAGGAAUGUGAGUUUGAAACAAUUGCCCCACUAGAAGGAGAUAUAUUGGGGAAUUUAGUGGAGGUUAUGGAAUUUGAUUUCUUGUCCAGGAUUUUGUAUUCUGAAGUGACAGAACUGGAUAAUUUCGUGAAAACUUUCCAGGAGAAUAUAGUUGAGGCGCAUGAAAUGAUAUCCUCAUAUAAGCAUUUGGGACAAACUUUCAUGGCAAUGGAAGAAAAGUUGCUUGAUUCUGAAAAAUCAUUGAAGCAGUUACAUGAUCAAGUGUCGGAAAUUAGGAUGCAAUACACCAAGUUCCAGAGGACCUUGUCAUGUCUGAAUGGAGAAGAGAAUUGGAGUGGUGAUGAGGUGUCAAACUUCUCAGAAGAUAAUCAAUUUGUGGACACGAAUGCAAAGAUCAAGAUGCAAACUGCUGAACAGCAAAGACAUAUUUUAAGGAUGCUAGAGAAAUCUUUGGCAAGAGAGAUGGAUCUUGAAAAGAAACUAACUGAAUCAAGACAAAUUGAGGAAGAGCUAAAACAUAGGAUACUCUCUACAGAGCAAGAAGUAUUUUUCUUGGAAGAAGAAGCAAUAGAUGUUUGUGAAAGAUGGUUCACAGCAGAAAAUGCUGCAGAGGUCUUGAUGGGAAUUUCUCAAGAACUACUGAGUCGACUAAAGAUUUUUCAGUUCAAUUUAAAUGGUUCAAUUAAACGAGAAGCUGAACUAAGGUCAAACCUUGAUAAAUCAGUGGAACAGUUGGAAGCCAAAGAAAAUGCUUUGCAAAAGUUCAAUAACAGCAGUGUGAAACUCAGUGAUCGUUUGAAAGCAAGCUUGACAGAAGCUGAAGAUAAAUUAAUUCUUGCAAAUUCUGAGGUCUCAACUCUAAGAGAAAAAGUGUAUUCAGUUGAGAAGCAGCUGGAAGAAUCUGAGUAUCAGCUGUCAACUGAAAACGUAAACGUCUCUAUGGAUGGACCAGAGGAGCAGCAUAGUGCUUUACGUUCUGAGAUCACAAAUUUGGAAAACACAAUUGAGGAUUUGAAAGAAGAGCUGGCUAAAGUGGAAAGUAGGGCAGCUAGUGCAGAAGUCAAGUGUAAUUUGUUGGCAGAGACUAAUUUGGAACUUAACAAAGAGAUGAUUCAUCUUAAAGAUGCCUCUGAGAAAGUGGAUUCAUUAGAGAAGCAGCUGAGUGAAUCUGAUAUUAGGCUCCAGCAUGCAGUGGCAUCUGCUGAUGCCAGUCAGGAGAAGCAAAACAUGCUGUAUACUACAAUUAGGGAUAUGGAAAAUUUAAUUGAGGAUCUAAAGUUGAAAAUUCAGAAAGCUGACAGUCGUGCAGACAAUGCAGAGGAUAAGUGCAUUGUAUUAUCUGAAUCUAAUGCAGAACUAAAUGAAGAACUGGGCUUUUUGAGGGGAAGGCUUGAAUGCUUGGAGAUAUCUCUGAAUCAAGCUGAGGAAACAAAAAUGAUUGCGGCAAAGGAUAUUGGCUUUCGGACAAAAGUAAUAACAGAUCUGGUGAUGCAAUUGGCUAUCGAAAGAGAGCGCCUUCAUAAGCAGAUGAAAUCAUUAGCACUUGAGAAUAAAACUUUAGUGCUAGCUACCAACCAUUGUAAUAGAGGAAGUGGUGAAAAAUCUCUGUUUCCUGAGCAUGAAGUAACCCAGAUCUCAGCAUCUGGUUCCAAGUUGGACAAGAAAAGGAAAAAUGUGUCUGUUGGUGAAACUGAAGUGGCAGAUGCAGAUUCCAUAUUGGGGGCUGAAAGAACGAGGAGGAUAGGUGCAGGAAUGCUCAACUAUAAGCAUAUUAUCAUGGCAGUGCUUAUCUUGUUGAUUUCUGCAGCUGUUUAUCUAUUUCAGCCGCAGAACCACCAUUUUUGAUAGCAGAGAUGCUAACCUCAUAUUUUAU